GACCGUGAAGGCAGGGGUAAACAUUCAACUGUCUAGUCAUUGCAGUUGUAAGUAUUACAUAACUGUUGUUGUUGUUAUGCUUGUUACACAUCACUGAGCAUAGAACUGGAUCAACACUUACUUCACCUGGCAUUAGGACAUUUUUGUCUCCACCGCGGAGAGUUCCAAUUCUAUUUACAAAGCUACAGGAAAAAACAAAAUAAAAAACUUCCUGUCA